GCUAGCGCACUGCGAGCUCACAUUUCCCCCCUUGCUUGGAAUGGUGUUACGGGAGGCUUCAGCCCUGCUCCGCUUCCAAUGGUUGUGUUGAUGUUCCUUUCAGCUGGUCCUAUAGCCCCCCUCCUCAGGAAGGUCUCCCCAGUGAAAAGAGAUAAACGGCACUGGACACAGCUGCACUGAGGGACGCUCAAGCCAACUGUGAAGUUGAAACAAAGGAAGUGAUCACCUGAAGACACCUCUCCUGCUAAGCAGCACCCCCAAAUGGUGCAAUUUCAGGAAAUAGAACUCCCAGAACACGAGGCAAUCUUUUCAAGAAACAGAAAAAACUUCACAGUGACAUCUAGAUUUCUAAAGAGCCAAGGACUUUCCCUUCCUCGUGUGUAUUCCUCUGUUUGUAUUUUAAUUCAGUGUGACAUUCAUUUCUAAAAUAUUUCCCUGGUAUGGAUAUGCUUAUUAAUGCACCAAUUUUUAAAAUAGAAAAUCACACAAAUGUG